UCAGCCACCGUUUUUCAUCCCGGAG
rnacentral:misc_RNA from 1 species